rnacentral:rRNA from 1 species
GACGAACGCUGGCGGCGUGCUUAACACAUGCAAGUCGAGCGGUAAGGCCCUUUCGGGGGUACACGAGCGGCGAACGGGUGAGUAACACGUGGGUGACCUGCCCUCAGCUCUGGGAUAAGCCUGGGAAACCGGGUCUAAUACUGGAUAUGACUCCAUGACGCAUGUUGUGGGGUGGAAAGCCUUGUGCGGCUGAGGAUGGGCCCGCGGCCUAUCAGCUUGUUGGUGGGGUGANGGCCUACCAAGGCGACGACGGGUAGCCGGCCUGAGAGGGCGACCGGCCACACUGGGACUGAGACACGGCCCAGACUCCUACGGGAGGCAGCAGUGGGGAAUUGUUCGCAAUGGGCGCAAGCCUGACGACGCAACGCCGCGUGGAGGAUGAAGGUCUUCGGAUUGUAAACUCCUGUUGCCCGGGACGAGUAGCUCCGACCUAACACGUCGGAGUCUGACGGUACCGGGUGAGGAAGCCCCGGCUAACUCUGUGCCAGCCGCCGCUGUAAU